UUCUGGCUAUGGCUCUCAGGCUCGGCCCCGCCCGAGCAGCUCUACUCUUCACCUCGGGGCUGACCUUAAUGUUCCUCUAGCUCCCAGUAUUCCACACCAACCACUUUUCUAUCCCAGACUCCGGAAGAACCAAUUUCCCUCUCUUUCCCUCAACUCAUUGUGUGGGUUGGAAGAGGGAAAGCUUUGAAGGUGUGGGUGAUAAGUUUGGAAGAGGUGGGAAAGUUAGCUACUCGGUUUGGUUCCCACGAGCAUGGAGGGACAACCCUGGGAAAGGCCGUAAGAAGCUAAUGGCUGUGUGUGGUUUUAAGGAAAGGGCAACUGUAAUAAAAGGGUGUGGUGGUAAGUCAGGAAGGGAAGAGGCAUAGAGGGUGGGCAUAAUUGGCUCCCUAAGUAUACAAGUCACCUAACAGCCUAGAACAUAGCAGAAACCACCAAGAUGGCAAAGAAAUGAAUGGGCAGGGCCUCUAAGGAGCAAGGCACAGGGACAAAGAAGCAAACUCCUGAAGUUUGACUGAAGAGGACAGACAGUGCACUGGGUCUUCCUUUUCCGUAUAUAUAGUACGUAUAGAUGGGACAGGUGAUGAACAGCUGUCCUGCCCCCUCUUUCCUUAUGGAGCAUGUCCCCUUGCCGGUCCUACUGAGCAUUUGGUCCCAUCUCCGUGGGACAAAGAAUUCAAAGGAUGAUGUUGUUAGUGAAGAUCUGGGAACUAGGACCCAAGGGAAGCUGAUGUUGAAUGAUCUCAGUAGAAAAAUGAAUCUACUUUAUAGGGAAAUAAAUUUUUAAAAAGUCAUGGGGACAUGUGUGGGCUGAGUGGCAUGAGGCUCACAGGAAUCCAGAAAGGGUUGGGUAAGCUUAUCCAGGACUGACUUAACAGCUGGGGCUGGGUGCCUGAUCCUGUGCACCAGACACAUCCAAUGAGGAGAGUCCUUUCCCAAUGUUCAGUCACCUUUGUCCUCAACUUACACCAAUCACAUGGAUGUUAGAGUCCUAGCACUUAGGCAUGGCACGAAAGGAGAUUUAGAGGACAGCAGGGGACUAGACAUUCUAAUAUGGAGAAUAAUGACCAGAAAGAACAAAGGUUUGUGGAUUUGGCAUCGGAUGUCUCCAUUCAAACCUUAAUUUUACCAUUUGGGCAAGUCUCUUUAUUCUUCUCUUUCCUAAGAAUAAAAAUAAUAGCUCCCUCAUGGGAUUAAAUGGAAUCAUCUAUGCAUGUAAAGUGCUUGGCACAGGGCUUUAUUUAUAUGAAAUACUGUGAAAAAGGAAGAGGUAAUAUCAUCAUUACGAAGAUGAUGAGUCAGGGCUAGUAGUGACGAAAGUUUUCAUUGUUCUCAUUCACAGAGACCUUCUUCAAUCUUUUGCUUUCCCCAAACCUUGGUCUUUCUGCACAUGCUGGGCUUCAGGCAGAUGGCUAUUUCUUCUUUUUCCUAUACUACGUGCAGUGCCAAUGGUCUUGGGACAGGCAGUGCCACCAAACCUGACCAGGAACUGCUAACAGAAGACACUCUCUUACUGGCACUGGAGGAGAAAGCAUUCUUGCUAUCAAAGGCAUGUGAGAAGGACUGGUUGCCAACUAACCCAGUGUCAAAUCCUGUCGGGGCUACCAAGCACCCUAUACUGCAUACCUUUUUAAGCAUCAGGGCUACUGAAUAGAGAACUCAUCUGGGAAGACCUGAUUUCAAGACUGUUACUCGAUACCUCUCUAAUGGGAAAUACUUAAUGUGUGUUUACUGGAAGUGAAGAGUUAGCAUUCUGCGGCUCGCUUGGCCCACACUGAUUAAAACAUGUUUGAGAGCUCCAUAUGCUUGUGGUGAAUGAGUGAUAUAUUUUGGUUGCUCUGUUUUCUGUCUGGUCCAGCCCAGCCUAUGUUGUAUGUGAGAGGAAGGGGGGAGGGUGAGGGUACAAGUGCUUUGGAACCGAUUUGCACUGGAAUGGAAUGAACUUAAGGAGUUGGUAUGGGUCAAUAAAUGUGCUUGCACAUGUUUAUUUCAGCGUGUGUUCAAGGAUGGCCAUGUUUACAGUUUGUCUGAAAUGAAGUAUAAUUAAAAAGGGAUGAAUACCUCUCUGAACAUUGAUUAUUUUCUUGUGUUUGUACGAAUUGAACUUAUACACAGACCUUUGGUUGUAAAGCUGCAGUAACAUCGUUCCUGAUUUUAGCCAAAAGCUGAAUUCUCCUUGAGAAUUUUACAUCGAACUGGGGCUUAUCCUGUUUAAGAGAAACAGUAGGCAUUUAAGUGAAGCUCUUUCUUGGAAUGUAGGCCAUACAUCUCUGACAUCUCACAC
rnacentral:lncRNA from 1 species